GAUGAACGCUAGCGGCGGGCUUAAUACAUGCAAGUCAAGGGGUAGCAAUACACCGGCGUACGGGUGCGUAACGCGUAUGGAACCUGCCCUUAUCUGGGGGAUAACUCGGGGAAACUCGAGCUAAUACCGCAUAAGAUAGUAGAGAGGCAUCUUUCAGCUAUUAAAGAUUUAUCGGAUAAGGAUGGCCAUGCGUAAGAUUAGAUAGUUGGCGAGGUAACGGCUCACCAAGUCUACGAUCUUUAGGGGCUCUGAGAGGAGAAUCCCCCCACACUGGCACUGAGAUACGGGCCAGACUCCUACGGGAGGCAGCAGUAGGGAAUAUUGGGCAAGUGGGCGGAAGCCUGACCCAGCCACGCCGCGUGCAGGAAGACCGGCCCUCGUGGGUUAGUAAACUGUCUUUUAACGUGGGAAAGAAAGCAGCUCAUGCGUGAGAAUUUGACGGUACCAGUUGAAUAAGCCACGG
rnacentral:rRNA from 1 species